rnacentral:rRNA from 1 species
GACGAACGCUGGCGGCGUGCUUAACACAUGCAAGUCGAACGGAAAGGCCCUGCUUUUGUGGGGUGCUCGAGUGGCGAACGGGUGAGUAACACGUGAGUAACCUGCCCUUGACUUUGGGAUAACUUCAGGAAACUGGGGCUAAUACCGGAUAGGAGCUCCUGCUGCAUGGUGGGGGGUGGAAAGUUUCGGCGGUUGGGGAUGGACUCGCGGCUUAUCAGCUUGUUGGUGGGGUAGUGGCUUACCAAGGCUUUGACGGGUAGCCGGCCUGGGAGGGUGACCGGCCACAUUGGGAUUGAGAUACGGCCCAGACUCCUACGGGAGGCAGCAGUGGGGAAUAUUGCACAAUGGGCGGAAGCCUGAUGCAGCAACGCCGCGUGCGGGAUGACGGCCUUCGGGUUGUAAACCGCUUUCGCCUGUGACGAAGCGUGAGUGACGGUAAUGGGUAAAGAAGCACCGGCUAACUACGUG